rfam:Cavia porcellus supercont2_1 genomic scaffold, whole genome shotgun sequence.
AUACUUACCUGGCAGGGGAGACACCAUGAACACAAAGGUGGUUUUCCCAGGAUGAGGCUCAUCCAUUGCACUCCAGAGGUGCUGACCCAUGCGAUUUCCCCAAGUGUGGGACAAUCACUGCACAAUGUGUGGUAGUGAGGGACUGCGUUCCUUCAUGCUUUUCCCUG